GUGCUGUAGUUCAGUGGUACAGCACUUGUUUAGCAUGUGAGAGGCCCUGGGUUUGAUCUCCAGCAUUGCAUA
rnacentral:tRNA from 1 species